rnacentral:rRNA from 1 species
UACGUAGGGACCAAGCGUUGUUCGGAUUUACUGGGCGUAAAGGGCGCGUAGGCGGCAUGACAAGUCACUUGUGAAAUCUCUGGGCUUAACCCAGAACGGCCAAGUGAUACUGUCGCGCUAGAGUGCGGAAGGGGCAAUCGGAAUUCUUGGUGUAGCGGUGAAAUGCGUAGAUAUCAAGAGGAACACCUGAGGUGAAGACGGGUUGCUGGGCCGACACUGACGCUGAGUGCGCGAAAGCCAGGGGAGCAAACGGG